rnacentral:rRNA from 1 species
GACGAACGCUGGCGGCGUGCUUAACACAUGCAAGUCGAACGGUAAGGCUCCAGCUUGCUGGGGUACACGAGUGGCGAACGGGUGAGUAACACGUGGGUGACCUGCCCUGCACUUCGGGAUAAGCCUGGGAAACUGGGUCUAAUACCGGAUAGGACCGCACCGUGAGGGCGUGGUGGGAAGGUUUUUCGGUGUGGGAUGGGCUCGCGGCCUAUCAGCUUGUUGGUGGGGUAAUGGCCUACCAAGGCGGCGACGGGUAGCCGGCCUGAGAGGGUGGACGGCCACAUUGGGACUGAGACACGGCCCAGACUCCUACGGGAGGCAGCAGUGGGGAAUAUUGCACAAUGGGCGGAAGCCUGAUGCAGCGACGCCGCGUGGGGGAUGACGGCCUUCGGGUUGUAAACUCCUUUCACCAUCGACGAAGGGUUUCUGACGGUAGAUGGAGAAGAAGCACCGGCUAACUACGUG